rnacentral:rRNA from 1 species
UACGUAGGGGGCAAGCGUUGUCCGGAUUUAUUGGGCGUAAAGCGCGUGUAGGCGGCUGGGGAGGUCUGCUGUGAAAACUUGAGGCUCAACCUCAAGAGGUCGGUGGAAACCAUCCAGCUAGAGUCCGGAAGAGGAGAAUGGAAUUCCUGGUGUAGCGGUGAAAUGCGCAGAUAUCAGGAAGAACACCCGUGGCGAAGGCGGUUCUCUGGGACGGUACUGACGCUGAGACGCGAAAGCGUGGGGAGCGAACAGG